rnacentral:misc_RNA from 1 species
GAUGAAGAACGCAGCGAAAUGCGAUACUUGGUGUGAAUUGCAGAAUCCCGUGAACCAUCGAGUCUUUGAACGCAAGUUGCGCCCGAAGCCAUUAGGCCGAGGGCGCGCCUGCCUGGGCGUCACACGUCGUUGCCCCCCCAUCUACUCCUUCGGGAUUGCGGGGGGCGGAUGAUGGCCUCUCGUGCGCCUCGUCGCGCGGUUGGCCUAAAUGCCAAGUCCUCGGCGACGCACGCCACGACAAUCGGUGGUUGCGAAACCUCGGUUGCCUGUCGUGUGCGGUCGUCGCGCAUCGAGGGCUCGAAAAAAUUGCCGGGCUUCGGCUCGACUUUCAACGCGACCCCAGGUCAGGCGGGGUUACCCGCUGAAUUUAAGCAUAUCAAUAAGCGGAGGA